rnacentral:sRNA from 1 species
UAGUGUGAGACUCAGCUAGGAAUACAUCCAAUAAUUUUUUUACCAAUGAAAUGGAAUUAUAAUGAGGUCUUUCCAGGAAUUCCGGUGAUAGAUACCCUUUGAUGAAAGAUUCAUAUUGGAUCUGCCUUUUAUUGUGUGGUGGUAUGUUAUUGUCAUGUUAUAAUGUGGCUUCUCUAUGAGGUAUAUUAUGUGAGUUGGCUACUAUUUUGGCUUCUGAAUGUUUCUUAAAUUUCAAAUUUAAAUUAUGCUUUUUGCCUAUGGCAGAAAAUGAUGAGAGACUUUCCCUACUGGCAAGCGAAACUUUUCCUUAUAAGAUAGAUUAACUUGUCAUAUUACAAACCUUGCUCUGAAAUUAAUUUUUCAGCCUUUUCUCUAGGAAAUGAUACACCUGAAGAACUGAGAAAGAAGUUAAUAAGGAAGAUGAAGUUAAUUCUGAGCUCAGGUUCAGAUGAGGAAUGUGCAAUUUGCCUGGAUUCUUUAACAGUUCCUGUGAUAACACAUUGUGCACAUGUAUUUUGUAAACCCUGUAUUUGCCAAGUCAUUCAGAAUGAGCAGCCACAUGCUAAAUGC